rnacentral:rRNA from 1 species
UACAGAGGGUGCGAGCGUUAAUCGGAAUUACUGGGCGUAAAGCGUGCGUAGGCGGUUCUGAAAGUCAGCUGUGAAAGCCCCGGGCUUAACCUGGGAACUGCGGUUGAAACUACAGGACUUGAAUCUGGCAGAGGGGGGUGGAAUUCCACGUGUAGCAGUGAAAUGCGUAGAGAUGUGGAGGAAUACCAAUGGCGAAGGCAGCCCCCUGGGAUAAGUAUUGACGCUCAUGCACGAAAGCGUGGGGAGCAAACAGG